CCUACGGGAGGCAGCAGUAGGGAAUCUUCCGCAAUGGACGAAAGUCUGACGGAGCAACGCCGCGUGAGUGAUGAAGGCUUUCGGGUCGUAAAACUCUGUUGUUAGGGAAGAACAAGUGCUAGUUGAAUAAGCUGGCACCUUGACGGUACCUAACCAGAAAGCCACGGCUAACUACGUGCCAGCAGCCGCGGUAAUACGUAGGUGGCAAGCGUUAUCCGGAAUUAUUGGGCGUAAAGUGCGCGCAGGUGGUUUCUUAAGUCUGAUGUGAAAGCCCACGGCUCAACCGUGGAGGGUCAUUGGAAACUGGGAGACUUGAGUGCAGAAGAGGAAAGUGGAAUUCCAUGUGUAGCGGUGAAAUGCGUAGAGAUAUGGAGGAACACCAGUGGCGAAGGCGACUUUCUGGUCUGUAACUGACACUGAGGCGCGAAAGCGUGGGGAGCAAACAGGAUUAGAUACCCUGGUAGUCCACGCCGUAAACGAUGAGUGCUAAGUGUUAGAGGGUUUCCGCCCUUUAGUGCUGAAGUUAACGCAUUAAGCACUCCGCCUGGGGAGUACGGCCGCAAGGCUGAAACUCAAAUGAAUU
rnacentral:rRNA from 1 species